rnacentral:rRNA from 1 species
UACGUAGGGCGCAAGCGUUGCCCGGAAUUAUUGGGCGUAAGGCGCGUGUAGGCGGCCGUGCAAGUCGGGUGUGAAAGCCCUCGGCUCAACCGAGGAAGUGCGCCCGAAACUGCAUGGCUUGAGUACCGGAGAGGGUGGCGGAAUUCCCCAAGUAGAGGUGAAAUUCGUAGAUAUGGGGAGGAACACCGGUGGCGAAGGCGGCCACCUGGACGGAUACUGACGCUGAGACGCGAAAGCGUGGGGAGCAAACAGG